UUAAAAGCUAUGAAGAAGAGGAGUAGGCGAAAAUCACCUUACAGAGAAGAAUACCCUAGGCUGAAAGGUAUUCCAGGCAAGAUUUAGCUGAAGGUAGCUUUGGAGCUCUUGUGUCGAAUUGAGUAGAUACAAGCGGGUCUGCCCGUUAUAGUGUAAAGAGCCGGUGUUGGCCGGAAUUAAGGUGGUACCGCGAACUAACCCUUCGUCCUUUUA
rnacentral:ncRNA from 1 species